AUGGAGACAAAUCAAAGAGGAGGCAAGACAAAAGCGGCUCAGAUGACAUACUCUUCUGAUGAAUAUCCUGAAUUGAAGACUGCCAUUGAGAAGCAAGAUUCUGUACCAGUUGAAGACCCAGAAAUGAGUCAUGAGAUGUCAUCCAUGGCAGAAACCGAAUUGCAAAUGAAAUCAAAGGAAAUGAAACAAACUCAGGCCUAUGAAAAUAUUCAGUCAGUUGUAUGUAAAUAUUCAAUUUUAUUUUUAUACUAAUAGUUUGUUAAAUCACCAUAGGUUAAAUAAAUUUAUAUUUUAGAGUUUAAGGAUGUUCUGU
rnacentral:lncRNA from 1 species